GUGGAUUAGAUACCCUGGUAGUCCAUGCCGUAAACGUUGGGCACUAGGUGUGGGGGACAUUCCACGUUUUCCGCGCCGUAGCUAACGCAUUAAGUGCCCCGCCUGGGGAGUACGGCCGCAAGGCUAAAACUCAAAGGAAUUGACGGGGGCCCGCACAAGCGGCGGAGCAUGCGGAUUAAUUCGAUGCAACGCGAAGAACCUUACCAAGGCUUGACAUGGACCGGAUCGCCGCAGAAAUGUGGUUUCUCCUUUGGGGCCGGUUCACAGGUGGUGCACGGUCGUCGUCAACU
rnacentral:rRNA from 1 species